rnacentral:rRNA from 1 species
GGAGGAAGGUGGGGAUGACGUCAAAUCAUCAUGCCUCUUACAAGUGGGGCCACACACGUGCUACAAUGGUCGGUACAAAGAGAAGCAAUAUGGCGACAUGGAGCAAAUCUCAAAAAGCCGAUCUCAGUUCGGAUUGGAGUCUGCAAUUCGACUCCAUGAAGUCGGAAUCGCUAGUAAUCGCAGAUCAGCUAUGCUGCGGUGAAUACGUUCUCGGGUCUUGUACACACCGCCCGUCACACCAUGGGAGCUGGUAAUACCCAAAGUCGGUUUGCUAACCUCGGAGGCAACUGCCUAAGGUAGGACUGGUGACUGGGGUGAAGUCGUAACAAGGUAUCCCUACGAGAACGUGGGGAUGGAUCACCUCCUUU